UACGGGGGGGGCAAGCGUUGUUCGGAAUUACUGGGCGUAAAGGGUUUGUAGGUGGCUUGCUAAGUCAGACGUGAAAUCCCUCGGCUUAACCGGGGAACUGCGUCUGAUACUGGAUGGCUUGAGUUUGGGAGAGGGAUGCGGAAUUCCAGGUGUAGCGGUGAAAUGCGUAGAUAUCUGGAGGAACACCGGUGGCGAAGGCGGCAUCCUGGACCAACACUGACGCUGAGUGAGCGAAAGCCAGGGGAGCAAACGGG
rnacentral:rRNA from 1 species